rnacentral:rRNA from 1 species
GCUCAGGAUGAACGCUGGCGGCGUGCUUAACACAUGCAAGUCGAACGAUUAAAGCCCCUUUCGGGGGUGUAUAGAGUGGCGAACGGGUGAGUAACACGUGGGCAAUCCGCCCCUCACUUCGGGAUAACUCAGGGAAACGUGAGCUAAUACCGGAUACUCCGAUAAGGUCGCAUGGCCUAUUCGGGAAAGUUCCGGCGGUGAGGGAUGAGCCCGCGGCCCAUUAGCUUGUUGGUGAGGUAACGGCUCACCAAGGCGACGAUGGGUAGCCGAGCUGAGAGGCUGAUCGGCCACACUGGGACUGAGACACGGCCCAGACUCCUACGGGAGGCAGCAGUGGGGAAUCUUGCGCAAUGGGCGAAAGCCUGACGCAGCAACGCCGCGUGCGGGAUGAAGGCCUUCGGGUUGUAAACCGCUUUCAGCAGGGAUGAAAAUGACAGUACCUGCAGAAGAAGCCCCGGCUAACUACGUGCCAGCAGCCGCGGUAAUACGUAGGGGGCAAGCGUUAUCCGGAUUCAUCGGGCGUAAAGCGCGCGUAGGCGGCUUGUUAAGCGAGAUGUGAAAACCGGGGGCUCAACCCGCGGCCUGCAUCUCGAACUGGCAGGCUUGAGUCUGGUAGAGGAAAGUGGAAUUCCCAGUGUAGCGGUGAAAUGCGCAGAUAUUGGGAGGAACACCAGUGGCGAAGGCGGCUUUCUGGGCCACGACUGACGCUGAGGCGCGAAAGCUAGGGGAGCAAACAGGAUUAGAUACCCUGGUAGUCCUAGCCGUAAACGAUGGGCACUAGGUGUGGGGGGUUAUCAACUCCCUCCGUGCCGCAGCUAACGCAUUAAGUGCCCCGCCUGGGGAGUACGGCCGCAAGGCUAAAACUCAAAUGAAUUGACGG